UGGGGUGUUGCUCAGUGGUACAGCACUUGCCUAGCAGUUGCAAAGGCCUUGAGUUCAAUUCCCAGCACCACAA
rnacentral:tRNA from 1 species